UGGGAUUGAGCCCCACAUUGGGCUCCUUGCCCAGGGGGAGUCUGCUUCUCCUUCUGCCCCUCCCCUCCACUCAUGCUCUGUCUCUUGCGCUCCCUCUCAAAUAAAUAAAACCUUUACAAAAUUUUUGUUGCAAUUAAUGAAAAGGUCUCUUAAAUUGCAUUUUAAAAGUAAUUUAUUUGUCUGUAGACCUUGGAAUAAGUUGAAAUAUUAUUUAUUUACAACCCAAGUCACUCACCUGAAAAUUUUACCACUACUAGUUAUCAAGGAAACGGUUUGCUUAAAUUCUUUUAAAAGAAUAUCGGUAUCAAGAACUGUGGAGUAUCUGAGCGUUUACCCUACUUGAGAAGUUAUGAAGUUAGCCAGUCAUAAUUCAAUGGAUCGCGGCAGAAGAUACAAGACUCCUGGAUCAGAGACAAAGAUAUUUAUUACUCGUAGUGUAGCAGGCUGCAUAAGCUUCGUGUUUGCUGAGCUCCCCUUGCUGUCGUUUCCUACGUGGAUGACCCAGGAGGGCUCAGGUGGAUGCUUCACAAGCGGUAGUUUUGCAUCACAGCCGAGAAAUGCCAAGAUUAGGGAAUCUUAAUCUUUUAUAAAAAACUCUCAACCUGACUGAACUCGGCACUGGAUGGAGGAAUAUUAUCUGUAUUGUGCUUGGAAAUACAAAAUGAGCAGACAGAUUUCGUAUGCUUAAGACAGAGACAUUCCAUCUCUCCUUCAAAGUUGUUCAUAGUACAAACAUCCUUGACAAGAUCCCAGAACACAAGCUAUCAGCGUUUCUGCUUGUAAAAUGUACUGAAAUAUGGGGGACUCGCCUAGAAUUGCCUCUUAACAGCUGAUCAAAUGGAACAGUUUUUAUUUAUUUAUUUAUUUUUAAUUUUUAUUUAUUUAUGAUAGUCACAGAGAGAGAGAGGCAGAGACACAGGCAGAGGGAGAAGCAGGCUCCAUGCACCGGGAGCCCGACGUGGGAUUCGAUCCCGGGUCUCCAGGAUCGUGCCCUGGGCCAAAGGCCCGCGCCAAACCGCUGCGCCACCGAGGGAUCCCCUGGAACAGUUUUUGACGUGAUUAUUUGAAAAUGUGGAAUCAGAAGAGCCAAGAAAGGAAGGACAGUGGUACUCAGCAAGGAGGUGAAAGGCUCGUUCUGGGUGCAGUUGGCUUCAUAUGAAUGCUCUCCCUUUAUCCGUCUCUUCAAUAUCCAUAUUUCCCACGCUGUGCUUGACCCUUAAAUCAUCUAAUUCUUCACACCCGGAAGCUCAGUGCCAAAUGUGGGACCUGGUUUUAAUAGCACCAUGAAAUCCUGUGGUGUGAGUAUGUUUUGUUUUCUCCUUAACUGUAUUUCUUUUGCCUAUUAUAUGUUUAUAUGAACUCUGAUUUACUGUUUUAAAUAUUUUAUCUAAAGCCCCCUAAGCUCACUUUGUAUAUUAUAAGACAAUAAAGGAAGGUAUAAGUCUAAAA